CAAAGAACCCCGAACAACCCAAACUGCUAAUCUUCGGUUCCGCUUUAUACUCACGAUCUUGUAACCACUGACUGUCUCGUUAGAUUAACCCAAUAAAUUUCAUUCACUCCGCAUACUCAAUCCUAUAGACACCCUUUUAAUUCUUCAUCAUAGACGUAACUCGAUUUUACAAAACAGUCAAGAGUAAUCACACCCACUUCAUUAAAAUCCCGAUUCACCAGUACAACACUGACUUCAGCAAUGAUUGCCUCAGUCUUCCCAAAAUCCUAUGAAGAAAAAAAAAAUCCAAUUCUCUAUCUUUUUU
rnacentral:lncRNA from 1 species